AUUGAACGCUGGCGGCAGGCCUAACACAUGCAAGUCGAGCGGAUGAAGGGAGCUUGCUCCUGGAUUCAGCGGCGGACGGGUGAGUAAUGCCUAGGAAUCUGCCUGGUAGUGGGGGAUAACGUCCGGAAACGGGCGCUAAUACCGCAUACGUCCUGAGGGAGAAAGUGGGGGGUCUUCGGACCUCACGCUAUCAGAUGAUCCUCGGUCGGAUUAGCUAGUUGGUGGGGUUAAGGGCUACCAAGGCGACGGUCCGUAACCGGUCGGAGAGGAUGGUAAGUCACCCUGGAACUUGAAAACGGUCCCGGGUACUACGGGACGCAGCAGUGGGGAAUAUUGGGCAGCGGGCGGAAGCCUUGUACAAGCAUGGCGAGUGUGUGGAAAAGGUCCUCCGUUUGUGAAGCACUUUAAGUUGGGAGGAAGGGCAGUAAGUUAAUACCUUGCUGUUUUGACGUUACCAACAGAAUAAGCACCGGCUAACUUCGUG
rnacentral:rRNA from 1 species